AAUAUAGUAGGAUAAGUUAAAGUCUAUAAGAUUCAUAUUUUUGUGGUUAUUAUAUUU
rnacentral:tRNA from 1 species